ACACUCCUGCGGGAGGCAGCAGUGGGGAAUUUUGGACAAUGGGCGAAAGCCUGAUCCAGCAAUGCCGCGUGAGUGAAGAAGGCCUUCGGGUUGUAAAGCUCUUUUGUCAGGGAAGAAACGGUGAAAGCUAAUAUCUUUUGCUAAUGACGGUACCUGAAGAAUAAGCACCGGCUGACUACGUGCCAGCAGCCGCGGUAAUACGUAGGGUGCAAGCGUUAAUCGGAAUUACUGGGCGUAAAGCGUGCGCAGGCGGUUUUGUAAGUCUGAUGUGAAAUCCCCGGGCUCAACCUGGGAAUUGCAUUGGAGACUGCAAGGCUAGAAUCUGGCAGAGGGGGGUAGAAUUCCACGUGUAGCAGUGAAAUGCGUAGAUAUGUGGAGGAACACCGAUGGCGAAGGCAGCCCCCUGGGUCAAGAUUGACGCUCAUGCACGAAAGCGUGGAGAGCAAACAGGAUUAGAAACCCUGGUAGUCCC
rnacentral:rRNA from 1 species